GGGAUGGUAGCUCAGUGGUAGAGUGCUUGCCUUGUAUGCAUGAGGCCCUGGCUUCGAUUCCUCAGUACCA
rnacentral:tRNA from 1 species